CUACCAUGCAGUCGACGUGAAAAUGCCUUCGGGUAUUAGUAAAGUGGCGCACGGGUGAGUAACACGUAGGUAAUCUCCCUCUUAGUGUGGAAUAACCAGCCGAAAGGCUGGCUAAUACCGCAUAUGGACCCAGGUCGUUGGAUCUGUGUCUAAAGGGGGCUUCGGCUCUCGCUAAGAGAUGAGCCUGCGUCCGAUUAGCUAGUUGGUGAGGUAAAAGCUCACCAAGGCAACGAUCGGUAGCUGGUCUGAGAGGACGACCAGCCACACUGGAACUGAAACACGGUCCAGACUCCUACGGGAGGCAGCAGUGGGGAAUAUUGCACAAUGGACGCAAGUCUGAUGCAGCGACGCCGCGUGGGUGAUGAAGGCCUUCGGGUUGUAAAGCCCUGUCAGCAGGGAAAAAAGCUUUCGUGCUAAUACCACGAGAGGAUGAUGGUACCUGCAGAGGAAGCACCGGCUAACUCUGUGCCAGCAGCCGCGGUAAUACAGAGGGUGCGAGCGUUGUUCGGAAUUACUGGGCGUAAAGAGCGUGUAGGCGGUCUAGCAAGUCAGAUGUGAAAGCCCAGAGCUUAACUCUGGAAGUGCAUUUGAAACUGCUAGGCUUGAGUGAUGUAGAGGUUGGCGGAAUACCCAGUGUAGAGGUGAAAUUCGUAGAUAUUGGGUAGAACACCGGUGGCGAAGGCGGCCAACUGGCAUCAACUGACGCUGAGACGCGAAAGCGUGGGGAGCAAACAGGAUUAGAUACCCUGGUAGUCCACGCCCUAACGAUGAUACUCGCUGUGGCUGGUAUUGACCCGCCGUA
rnacentral:rRNA from 1 species